GAGACUGGAUCCAGUGUGAUAGAUCGCGUUGAUGACCUGACAUUGCUUAAGGGUGGCCUGCCCUGGAGAAGGAACUGGGAAGGAAAGUUUCCUGCAGUCGAAGCCUCAGGCUUCCUGGAAGCUGCAUCGUGUCCAGCAGAGUUGGGAAGCACCCACCUAUCUGAGUUCUGCUGACACUCAGAAGGACGGCAGAGAGGUUUCAGGAUCUCUGAAAUGAAUGCCUGGGGCAGCCUGCCCUCGCACUCCCAGGAGAUGAGGCAGAUGGCAGGCGGACACAACAGACCCGCAGGGGCAGGCGAGGACUGGACCUGCAAAGUCCCAGAUGGGGCUCUCCUCCCCCAGCCCUCGGGUCCAGUAAAGAGGAGACCCAAGGCCAUGAGGUCAUCGGAAUGCAGGAUCCUUUAACCAGACUGAAAGGAGGAACUCAGCAGCGGCAGGAAAAGCGGCUGAGGAGGCCUUGUGAUCCAGAAAUAGACACAAGGAGACGCCGAGGGAGAAGGCAACAGAGCUGAAGGAGCCGACGGCAUCAGGCGACUCUGACGCGCCCGCAGACCAGUGCCCCUGCAAACACCGAGGAGACGCUGUCCCAGACUCUGCACUCGCAGGCCGGCCACCUCCCACGGAAUCUUCCCUGGGGUGGUCGUGGAGUGGAAAUCACUGACUCCCCAGCCCACCGUCCUGUGCUUUGUCCAGGACCCUCCCUCAUCGUCCAGCCCACAGACAGCAGACCUGAUGUUGGCUCCCACGAUUUCCCCAGACUGCCACCAACAUACUUGGCCCCGGCCCUGCCCUCACACCCCAGGUCCAAGCCAAGUACCUGAUGUGAAGUCAAAGCCAAGCUCCCAUCCUGACCCCCAUAGACUGAGCCAGGACUCCAAGCUGUGCAUCCUGGCACCAGGUGAGGGAUCUGCCUGGGUCCCCAUCCACGAUGCCAGAAUCCCUCAAAAGGCCCUUUCCAGACCCUCAGAAAAGCACUUGGAGACCAGUUCAGGGAGGCUGUCCAGACUCUGUGGUCUCUGCUCAGUAGAUGGAUGUGGACACAGGACAUUCCCAGGUGACCUGAAGGACGCCUGCUCAGAUGGCCAGCACUGACCUCCAGUGAGCGGACCUGAUGACUGCCCAGGCCGGCGGGCUCCCCAUCCUCCCCACCACCCAGCCUCGUUCCAGGCCAGCCCCUAGUGGUCUGUGCUAGGUUGACUCAAAUAACUCUGAAGGACACUGUCUCUGUCCCAUCGCUUUUCUCUGGGAUGACUCUGUGCAGUCACUGGAGUGACAAACUCUCCAGUAGCUGAGACUUGACUUUCAGUCUCAGAUACCUGGAGGAGACAGCGGACGGAGCAGGUGGCAGCAGGGCAGCACGCUGCGUCGGAUGAACAGGAAUCCCCAGCCCCGGUGCACGUGCAGGGAAAGGACCCCCGUGCCGCCCUGGGAGACGCACACACACAGCCUGUUCCGACUAUGCCCCUUCCGGGUGAACUCAAGAUGGAAUUUAUGAAACUGGCAUAGGAGAGGUUUUAAAUUCAGUUAAUUGUGUAAUAAGCCAAGUAAAACAACUGGCAUAAGUAUUUAGUUCUAACUAAGGAGCUGUGAAAUUAAUCUGAACUUUGGGAAACUCUGGUUAAACCAAGCUCCGGGCUCUGUAUCUUCUGAGAACUGCCCUGUCCUGAUACAGAGUUCUGUUUCUGUGUAAGUGUUUUAUAGA